rnacentral:sRNA from 1 species
GUGCUCGCCGCGCGGAUCGCCAUGCUGCGGCUGCUGCUAUAAUAAUAGCCGAUCAGCGAUGAUAAGAUUGAAGACUGGGGACAUGGCUCUUCUUUCAUUCUCCUAAAGCUCAUCAAAGCGAAAGAAGGGAGUAAGUCAGUAUCGAUGUACUUGGACGCCUUAUCUUCACACCCUCCAACAAAUGAUUUUUGUACUUUGUAACCUCUGUAUUAUUACUACGAAAGCUUCUUUUUGGCUCUUCCUUGCCGUUACUGCAUGCUUCGACUUGUAAUCCGUCGGGUGUCCCAGGACGAGUUUUCGACAAAUACAACCACACCACUGCAAGAUGUACGUAUGUAUGUAUAGGUUGUAUAUAUACAUCAUAAAUAGAUGUAGAGAAAGAAGAACGAGAGAAGCGUCAUCAGGCAGACCACACAAAUAUUCGACCGUCCGUUCGGACCGACUUCGUUGAGACGAAGGGACAAGCUCAGGGCACGUAUCACCUGACUUCAGACUAGUGGAGAGUCCUUAAACCGGAUUCUCGCCUUACAGCAAGAAUUGGAAGUGUACAUACAGCAACUGUAUAUUGCAUGCGAGGAGAAGACCAUGGUAUAAUCGGAUUAUUAUCAUUGGAGGUGCAAUGUAACAGCGCUGUUGUGUCCAGACUCCGGAGGAGUGGGGAAUUUUUGACGGUUUAAGAGCUUAUGCAUUUUCA